GGACGGCAGGCCGCCGCAUAAUGCGGAGGAACUUCCGGACUCCCAGGGCAGAGCGCCGCGCGAAAGCGCGGGAGGGCGGGGCGAUAUCCCCGUUCGACGGAAAGUGCAACAGAAAGAAUACCGCCCGUAAGGGUAAGGGUGAAAUGGUAAGGCAAGAGCUUACCGCGCAGACGGCAACGCCUGCGGCAAGGUAAACCCCGCUCGGAGCAAGGCCAAAUAUGCCGAUAUACGGCCCGUAUGUUAAGGCAGAGUAGGCCGCACAGAUAAAUGGUCUGCACGCCUUUGGCGGACAGAAUCCGGGGUAUAGUUCAGC
rnacentral:RNase_P_RNA from 1 species